GGGCAUCCACAUUUCUUGGACGCACUUUGGGUUCCACUAUCAGUACUCUUGUGUUUCCCACCUUUAUCACAACCAAAUAUUAAUUUGUUACUUCUCCUUGUCUUCCCUGUUUCAGUAUCUGAACGAAUGAUAAUAACAAUUACUUUAUUAUUGAUUCCUACCUCUUUAAUCCAUCUGAUCACAUCUUCUCCUGUACCAAAUCUUUCCAUCGUUAUAAACCCAUCAGAAGUAUCUACACAUAUUUGGGGAAGAUUUUCCAUUCCUGCAUAAUAAAAAAGUUUUAAAAAAAAAUUUU
rnacentral:lncRNA from 1 species